rnacentral:lncRNA from 1 species
CUGAGACCUAGGAAGCAGAAAGGCUAAAAAGCGGCUCCCCUGCCUUCCGGCAUGAGGCUCUCUCCCCCUCUGCUCUCUGCUCCUACGCAGCACCUUGCUGUGGGUUUGGUUAACAGAAGCGUGUGUGAUUUCAGCACGUGCCACAGAUCCAGCAAGUGUUGCUGGGGCGGAUCUUGUAAUGGCUGCCCUUACAUAACAUUGGUGUCACUGAAUUGGAUCGAGAGGCCUGAGGCUCCUGUGUUACCUUCUGAGAAAAAUCCACAUCCACCACUGCCACGGAAAUGGGACAGAGACCUAGAUUUUGACUCUCUUUUUUGGAAAGGAAAACAGAUCAAGACGCACAAAGGUCCAAGUGGCCUCUAUUGUCCAGGAACACAAGGCCAGGUGUUGGGGACAGGAGUUGGACCAGGAGGAGUGGCUGGAGCGGAAGAGAGGAGGAGGACUUGGAGCUGGGCGGCCCAGAGGGCAGAAUCUGCACUGCCACAGACGCAGUUCCCAGGAGUCUGAGCCCCGUGAAGUCCAGCAGUGAGUUUAGGAUAAAUAAUCUGCCCACAGGCAGAGGCAGGAGGAUGAGCAGAUUCUAGAGGCCUUCCCCAAGGGACGACUCUCCUGGGGGACUGUCUGGAGGACCAGCCGGGGAGCCAGCCGAACUUCCAGACAUUGUGGGGAACCAUCUUAUUGAUUCUGCCCAAAGCAGGGAGUAAGCAGUGCAGGCUGUAAAGAGGUGACUCUGCAGUUGGCUCAUUUUAAGAAGCAAAUCUGAUUAAAGCUUAUGUGACUCACAGAAGCACCGCAUAAGCACCAUGGUAGCACGUAAGUUAGCAUGAGCCUCCCGCUAAUGCCACAGCAGAGACCAGAGUAAUGGCCCAUGAAGCUCUGGGGCUCAAGAUGAGAUAACAUAGGAGGAGAGGCUGGAGUAGCUUCCACCCAAAGUCCACUCCCACGACUAAAACCUUCUAACCUACAAGGACAAGGUUCUAAUUGCAACGCUGUAUUUUGUCUGUCCUGUUCCUAAUUUGAGAAUGCUUUGUCUUUUCCUUUACAAGCUUUGCCUGCAUAGUAUCCAUAGCAACUGUGGAGCUGCACAUCCUCAUGCAUAGCUCCCCUUUAC